GUUUCCGACAGUUUUGUAGGACACUGAGGAGAUUUUUAGAAGGAAAGGAAUCUUGAUCGCGGUUCUUGGUAUUGUCAAUGAUCAUGUUAUUUAAUAAUGAUGGAUAGGAGUGAGCCUUCUUUAGUUCCAGAAUGGUUGAAGAGCGGUGGAAGCCUCUCUGGAGGUGGCAGUAGACAGCAACAAUCUUCAUCUUCUUUGCGCUCAGAUGAUCGUUCUGCGAAUAAGAACGUGAGAAAUAGGUCUUCUUUAAGCAGUGGAAUUCAGGUGUCUGAUCGAACCACUUCUUCUUAUUUUCGUCGGAGCUCCAAUAGUAAGGGAUCAACACACUCACGAUCUUUCAGCAGUAGUAGAACUCAUCGGGAUGAAGCUUUGGAAGAUUUAUAUGAACUCCCUCACAAUGACAAGCCAUUCUUUGGUUUACAGAAGAAUCGAGAUUAUACUGAUCCUGUAGGUAGUUUGCUGCUGGGUAAGUUGGACAAGGAUGUGCUACGGCGUUCACAGUCUAUGAAUGGCAGGAGACAGGAAGAGACCUUGCGUAGUCCAGUGGCUGGUGAUAUUAGUAAUGCGAGAAAUGGGGGCCGCAGCAUCACUAGUGGUUUGCUUACAAAAGGCAGAGAUACAAGUAGCACCACUGAAGCUGCAUUGGGACAGGACUUUCCCUUUCUUGGAACUGAAGAGAGGCAAAGAGUUUCUGAAGUAGCAAGAGUACCUUCUGUGGGAUCUUUUGCUACCUUUCAGAGGCCUUCAAGUGCUAAUUCAGACAAAACUAGUGCAGAUGGGUGGACGGUUUUGGCAGAGGUGCCUGGAGUGGUUGGAAACAAUAAUGCAACUGGUUUGCCGUCUCCGCAAACUGUACCUGGAAGCUCGGCUAUUUUAGGUCAAAAUAUGAAUGGCCUUAAAAUGUCAGAGGCUGUUGCCCAAAGUCCCUCUCGUGCUCGCACACCUCCUCAGUUGUCUGUUGAUAGUCAGAGGCUUGAAGAGUUGGCCAUCAAACAAUCAAGGCAACUGAUCCCUGUGACACCAUCCAUGCCCAAAUCUCAGUUGCUUAGUUCGAUGGAGAAAUCAAAAACAAGAGCCGCACAGCAGACUACUAAGUUCUCCCCCUACAACUCUAAUCUAGGAAAGUUGCAAGUUCUGAAACCAUCAGGGGAUCUGAAUGGUCUCUCUUCAACAGUGAAUGAAAACCUGGUUUCCCCAAAUGGAGUCAAAGUUCCACGUAGCCCCCUAAAUCUGGCACCAUCAUCUGUUGGUUCUCACUCUAAGAAUUCUGUCAGCAACCAGAACUUGGGAGGUUCUGAGCGUAAGCCAGCUACAUCAUUGGUGACUUUAGAGAAGAGACCAUCUUUGCAGACUCAAAGCCGUAAUGACUUCUUCAAUCUCAUAAAGCAGAAAUCUUCUACGAGCAUCAAUACUAGAACUGAUACUACUAGUACUGUAUCAGUUUCUGAUCAGGAAAAUCAGAGCUUUUGAGCGCUGAGGCUGGCACUGAUUCUAUCUCUUUGGAAACUAAGCAUCAAAGUUCUUCAGUUAUCUCUGUUUCAGACUUUCCAACUGAGCACGCCAGAGAGAUAGUUGAAAAUGGUGAUGCAUGUGACUGUACUUUGGGUUUGAUCAGAAAUGGAGAGGAGCAUUUAAACUAUCCAAAUGAGGAAGAGUUUGCAUUUUUGCGUUCUCUUGGGUGGGAGGAGGGUGCUGCAGAUGGAGAUGAUGAAGGCCUUACUGAGGAGGAAAUAAGUGCAUUUUAUGAAGAGUAUAUGAAAUCGAGGCCAUCGUCCCAACUGCUUGAGGACCAGCAAAAAUUUCUCCACCUGAACAUGAACGGAAAGAUCUGCAUUGAGUCAUUUGGAUUGAGCUCUGCUGGGUCUCACGUGCGAUCUUGAUCUGCCAAGUGCAG